GUCUACAGCCCUGCUACCCUGAACAAGCCCAAUCCUGGUUGAUCUCGGAAGCUAAGCAUUAAGGUUGGGCCUGGUUAGGACUUGAAUAGGAGACCACCUAGGAGGACCAGAUGCUAUAGGCA
rnacentral:rRNA from 1 species